UGAGUAACACGUGGGCAAUCUGCCCUUCACUCUGGGACAAGCCCUGGAAACGGGGUCUAAUACCGGAUAUGAGCCGGGACCGCAUGGUCCUGGCUGUAAAGCUCCGGCGGUGAAGGAUGAGCCCGCGGCCUAUCAGCUUGUUGGUGAGGUAAUGGCUCACCAAGGCGACGACGGGUAGCCGGCCUGAGAGGGCGACCGGCCACACUGGGACUGAGACACGGCCCAGACUCCUACGGGAGGCAGCAGUGGGGAAUAUUGCACAAUGGGCGAAAGCCUGAUGCAGCGACGCCGCGUGAGGGAUGACGGCCUUCGGGUUGUAAACCUCUUUCAGCAGGGAAGAAGCGAGAGUGACGGUACCUGCAGAAGAAGCGCCGGCUAACUACGUGCCAGCAGCCGCGGUAAUACGUAGGGCGCAAGCGUUGUCCGGAAUUAUUGGGCGUAAAGAGCUCGUAGGCGGCUUGUCACGUCGAUUGUGAAAGCUCGGGGCUUAACCCCGAGUCUGCAGUCGAUACGGGCUAGCUAGAGUGUGGUAGGGGAGAUCGGAAUUCCUGGUGUAGCGGUGAAAUGCGCAGAUAUCAGGAGGAACACCGGUGGCGAAGGCGGAUCUCUGGGCCAUUACUGACGCUGAGG
rnacentral:rRNA from 1 species